rnacentral:rRNA from 1 species
AGUGAACGCUGGCGGUAGGCCUAACACAUGCAAGUCGAACGGCAGCACAGUAAGAGCUUGCUCUUACGGGUGGCGAGUGGCGGACGGGUGAGGAAUACAUCGGAAUCUACUUUUUCGUGGGGGAUAACGUAGGGAAAGUUACGCUAAUACCGCAUACGACCUACGGGUGAAAGCAGGGGAUCUUCGGACCUUGCGCGACUGAAUGAGACGAUGUCGGGUUAGCUAGUUGGCGGGGUAAAGGCCCACCAAGGCGACGAUCCGUAGCUGGUCUGAGAGGAUGAUCAGCCACACUGGAACUGAGACACGGUCCAGACUCCUACGGGAGGCAGCAGUGGGGAAUAUUGGACAAUGGGCGCAAGCCUGAUCCAGCCAUACCGCGUGGGUGAAGAAGGCCUUCGGGUUGUAAAGCCCUUUUGUUGGGAAAGAAAAGCAGCAGGUUAAUCCCCCGCUGUUCUGACGGUACCCAAAGAAUAAGCACCGGCUAACUUCGUG